GGACAGCAUCAGUUUUUAAUAAAGGGCAGUGACUCCAUUUUCCAAGUGCAGUCCGGAUCUCCUUUACCAUUUCUUAUUUUCUCUUUUAAUUUUUCACACAAAAGCGUUGAUCCACGAAGAUCCAACCGUUCAAACUCAAAUAUAAUUUCAGAAACGUGAUCUACGAGACCCGAUCUACGUUUUUACCGAUCAUUUUGAGGUAAUAGGUUACUUGGAACUUGCUUGAGACUACCCAAACCAUGGGUUUUGGUUUGGUGAAAUUUUGUAAUGCAUUGUAUGAGGGUGUCUAAGAGACCUAGUGCUUAAUAUCCGCGCAGCCAAGACAUUGAUACUUUGGUUGCAGGUUUUGCGGAUAUAGAUAUUGACUCGUCCACCUAGCGUAUGGGAUGCUAUGAUUGGAGCAUAUCGCGACAGUCAUAAGUCACGGACUCAUGGGUAGUCUGCAUUUUGGGUGUUUUAUUUAUGGCUCGUGUCCUACGUGGCACAUGUAUUUGUUGCGCCUGUAUUUUGGUAUGUAAUUAGUGUAAUGUGUUUAUAAGCCUUAAAUAGAUAGACUUGUAAAUGGCUCUUGUUGUUGAUAACAGUUAUGUAUUAGAUGUAAUUCCGCUAUUGAUA